rnacentral:rRNA from 1 species
CAGCAGCCACGGGAAUACGUAGGGUGCGAGCGUUAAUCGGAAUUACUGGGCGUAAAGCGUGCGCAGGCGGUUUUGUAAGACAGGCGUGAAAUCCCCGGGCUCAACCUGGGAAUGGCGCUUGUGACUGCAAAGCUAGAGUGCGGCAGAGGGGGAUGGAAUUCCGCGUGUAGCAGUGAAAUGCGUAGAUAUGCGGAGGAACACCGAUGGCGAAGGCAAUCCCCUGGGCCUGCACUGACGCUCAUGCACGAAAGCGUGGGGAGCAAACAGGAUUAGAUACCCCGUAGUCCCUGUCUCUUAUACC